rnacentral:rRNA from 1 species
UACGUAGGGCGCAAGCGUUAUCCGGAAUUAUUGGGCGUAAAGAGCUCGUAGGCGGUUUGUCGCGUCUGCCGUGAAAGUCCGGGGCUCAACUCCGGAUCUGCGGUGGGUACGGGCAGACUAGAGUGAUGUAGGGGAGACUGGAAUUCCUGGUGUAGCGGUGGAAUGCGCAGAUAUCAGGAGGAACACCUAUAGCGAAGGCAGCUUGCUGGGACGUUACUGACGCUAAGGCGCGAAAGCGUGGGGAGCGAACAGG